UGUCGAUACCUGWCCAAAACAGAACGACCCGCGAACCAACGAUCACCACUCUCGGUGGGCUGGUUUCUUAACCGAUCCCGUGCCCGCCGGAUCCGUGGUUUCGCGUAUCGCCCUGGUCGGGAGCUUUAUCUCGGUCUUGUCGUGCGCGUUGCUUCCGGAUAUCACAAAACCCCGGCACGAAAAGUGUCAAGGAACAAGCAAACGAGCGGCUGGCAUUCGCCUCCCCGGAGACGGUUUGUGCGCGGAUGCUGUGCUGCGAUAUAAAGUCUAAAACGACUCUCGGCAACGGAUAUCUCGGCUCUCGCAUCGAUGAAGAACGUAGCGAAAUGCGAUACUUGGUGUGAAUUGCAGAAUCCCGUGAACCAUCGAGUCUUUGAACGCAAGUUGCGCCCCAAGCCUUCUGGCCGAGGGCACGUCUGCCUGGGUGUCACAAAUCGUCGUCCUCCAUAUUCCUUUGUGGAUGCGGGACGGAAGCUGGUCUCCCGUGUGUUACCGCACGCGGUUGGCCUAAAUCCGAGCCAAGGACGCCUGGAGCGUCCCGACAUGCGGUGGUGAACAUGAUCCAUUUGAUAUUGUCGGUCGCUCCUGUCCGGAAGCUGUAGAUGACCCAAAGUCCUUUAAGCGACCCCAGGUCAGGCGGGAUUACCCGUC
rnacentral:misc_RNA from 1 species